AAUAGAUACCCAGGUAGUCCACGCCGUAAACGAUGAGUGCUAAGUGUUAGGGGGUUUCCGCCCCUUAGUGCUGCAGCUAACGCAUUAAGCACUCCGCCUGGGGAGUACGGUCGCAAGACUGAAACUCAAAGGAAUUGACGGGGGCCCGCACAAGCGGUGGAGCAUGUGGUUUAAUUCGAAGCAACGCGAAGAACCUUACCAGGUCUUGACAUCCCGUUGACCACUGUAGAGAUAUGGUUUCCCCUUCGGGGGCAACGGCGACAGGUGGUGCAUGGUUGUCGUCAGCUCGUGUCGUGAGAUGUUGGGUUAAGUCCCGCAACGAGCGCAACCCUUGAUCUUAGUUGCCAUCAUUUAGUUGGGCACUCUAAGGUGACUGCCGGUGACAAACCGGAGGAGGGUGGGGAUGACGUCAAAUCAUCAUGCCCCUUAUGACCUGGGCUACACACGUGCUACAAUGGACGAUACAAACGGUUGCCAACUCGCGAGAGGGAGCUAAUCCGAUAAAGUCGUUCUCAGUUCGGAUUGUAGGCUGC
rnacentral:rRNA from 1 species